rnacentral:rRNA from 1 species
UACGUAGGGUGCGAGCGUUAAUCGGAAUUACUGGGCGUAAAGCGUGCGCAGGCGGCGCGUUAAGACAGGUGUGAAAGCCCCGGGCUUAACUUGGGAAUUGCGCUCGAAACUAUGGUGCUGGAGUGUGGCAGAGGAAGGUGGAAUUCCACGUGUAGCGGUGAAAUGCGUAGAGAUGUGGAGGAACACCGAUGGCGAAGGCAGCCUUCUGGGCCAACACUGACGCUCAUGCACGAAAGCGUGGGGAGCAAACAGG